rnacentral:tRNA from 1 species
CGCUGCCGUAGCUGGUGGCCUGGACGAUCGAUUGCCGGUCGAUGCCGUAGGCGAUGGCCUGGCGGACCCGCGGAUCGUUCCACGGGGCGCGG